GUGGCCCUGGCUGGUCCCUCCACGGCACUCUGGGUCCUCUCCUCCCUCUCCAGAGACCCUCACGUGUCCCUUUGAGCAUCCAAAGAGCAGGUCCCUGAAGGCACCUUCCUGGAGGCUGUACGGAGGGCCCUGGACGUGGCCCAGCCCCACUGCUGGGGCUCAAACUCACCUUGAGUCCCCACAGCCCCGUGUGCCCUACCCUGCGGAAGGCGUGUUUGUGCCAAGAGAGGCCGGGCCACUGCAGAACCCCGCUGUGUAAAGAGGCAGAAAAGUUGGUUUGGUUCGCAGUGAGUAACGCUGCAACUAGAAAACAUGCACUUCAGGCUUGUUUAAACCACCAAGACUCUGUGACGUUAAUUUGGGUCUUUGUCCUGGCAGUGCUCCUGCCAGUCACUGUCAUCAUUGUGUCCCCCACAAGUGUCCUCUUGCUAGCUCUACCCAGCUUUGUUUCUGGAGCCCGACGCCACCCCCUCAGGCAGAGGAUGCGUCCCGGGCCAGAGUCAGGGAGUAGCUGCUGCUUCACAGCGUUUGCACCGUUUCCACCGUGCGAUUGACCCGGAUCCCCAAAGACUCAGAAGGAGCUGCUCAGGACUGACUGAAGACUCUGGACUCAUUGCUGAUUGGAACGCCAGGAGGAGGGUGGAUUUCUGCCAGUGGGGGAUAUUUCUGGAGGCAGCUGGUCCCCGACACCGCAUCCUGCUGAGCCUGCCCCUGGAUUGGCUGUACUUUGCCUCGAAGUUCAGCAGUUCAUCUUCAUGGGAAUUUGCUGAGCCCCUACCAGGGAACCGGAUGAUGAAACAGGGAUACCUCACAGCGCUGCCAUUUGCUGCACAGGCAGCUUCCCGGGCCGACGCUAGAGAAGACAGACUUUCCCUUCCUCCCAGCGCCAGCAGUGCAGAGCCCACCUGGAAGCGUGUCGGGGGUGUGCAGGGGGCAGCGCUCAGGCGGAUCUUGGGAAGUGGCCUCUAGAUGCUGAGUGGAAGGACCUACUGAGCACAGCAAGGCACCAAAGCCCCUGGAGAAAUCGCCAGAGCGAGAUGCGGCCAUCGUCAGGGUCAAAGCAGAUGGGGCGUGGGUGGGGAAGGGGCUCUGGGACCAGACCCCCACACCUCUGUGGUCAUCAGUCUGUAGAAGCAGAUGGUGGUGGAAAUUCCAGCAGGUGGGUCUGGCAGAGGCCCUGAGGCCUCACUUUUCGGAUCUUCUCUCCCACAUCCUGCUCCCUCCCAGCUGAGCCUGGGUUCCCUGGCGUUGGCCCCAGCCUUCUGAAAGCUGCUGCUGCAGCCAGAGGCCGCACACUGCACUGUCACCACGCAGCUGUGCAGGCUGGGAUCGGGCCCCACCUCUGUGCUGUCUAGUUUGUGUUCAGAAUGUCAGAAUAAACACAGAAUAAACAUUCCCA
rnacentral:lncRNA from 1 species